rnacentral:rRNA from 1 species
AACGAACGCUGGCGGCAGGCCUAACACAUGCAAGUCGAGCGCCCUUUCGGGGGAGCGGCGGACGGGUGAGUAACGCGUGGGAAUAUGCCCUUCUCUACGGAAUAGCCUCGGGAAACUGAGAGUAAUACCGUAUACGCCCUGUGGGGGAAAGAUUUAUCGGGGAAGGAUUAGCCCGCGUUGGAUUAGGUAGUUGGUGGGGUAAUGGCCUACCAAGCCGACGAUCCAUAGCUGGUUUGAGAGGAUGAUCAGCCACACUGGGACUGAGACACGGCCCAGACUCCUACGGGAGGCAGCAGUGGGGAAUCUUAGACAAUGGGGGCAACCCUGAUCUAGCCAUGCCGCGUGAGUGAUGAAGGCCUUAGGGUUGUAAAGCUCUUUCAGCUGGGAGGAUAAUGACGGUACCAGCAGAAGAAGCCCCGGCUAACUCCGUG